UAGGGAAUCUUCCGCAAUGGGCGAAAGCCUGACGGAGCAACGCCGCGUGAGUGAUGAAGGUCUUCGGAUCGUAAAACUCUGUUAUUAGGGAAGAACAAAUGUGUAAGUAACUAUGCACGUCUUGACGGUACCUAAUCAGAAAGCCACGGCUAACUACGUGCCAGCAGCCGCGGUAAUACGUAGGUGGCAAGCGUUAUCCGGAAUUAUUGGGCGUAAAGCGCGCGUAGGCGGUUUUUUAAGUCUGAUGUGAAAGCCCACGGCUCAACCGUGGAGUGUAAUUGGAAACUGGAAAACUUGAGUGCAGAAGAGGAAAGUGGAAUUCCAUGUGUAGCGGUGAAAUGCGCAGAGAUAUGGAGGAACACCAGUGGCGAAGGCGACUUUCUGGUCUGUAACUGACGCUGAUGUGCGAAAGCGUGGGGAUCAAACAGG
rnacentral:rRNA from 1 species